CAAAACUUCUCACAUUCGUGAAUAACCAGAGACAUAAAAACAUCAACAUGUUGACAUCGAAUUAAACCCUUCUCUUGUUUACGCAAAGUUUUACACAUUAUUUACAAAUGUAUAUUAUUUCUCAUGCUAAUUGACAAUGUAUCCUACCACAAUCCGAGGUCUACCAAACAUAAAUAAAGCUUCCAUUGUUUUUACAGUUUCAAGUAAAAAAUGUGGAGAAACUGUAACCCGAGGUGACAGCUGGUUCAACACUUGUACAUAACAAAAUAAAGAAAAAAAAAAAAAAA
rnacentral:misc_RNA from 1 species